rfam:Plasmopara halstedii genome assembly, contig: Scaffold_1946
AGCGCACCCCUGAUAAGGGUGAGGUCGGUGGUUCAAGUCCACUCAGGCCUA